rnacentral:tRNA from 1 species
AGAGAUAUAGUAAAUAAAAAGCUUCUAACUUUUUCAAGGUGGUUAGAUUCCAUCAAUCUCUU